CUUCGGUAACUGAGCUAGCGGCGGACGGGUGAGUAAUGCUUAGGAAUCUGCCUAUUAGUGGGGGACAACAUUCCGAAAGGAAUGCUAAUACCGCAUACGCCCUACGGGGGAAAGCAGGGGAUCUUCGGACCUUGCGCUAAUAGAUGAGCCUAAGUCAGAUUAGCUAGUUGGUGGGGUAAAGGCCUACCAAGGCGACGAUCUGUAGCGGGUCUGAGAGGAUGAUCCGCCACACUGGGACUGAGACACGGCCCAGACUCCUACGGGAGGCAGCAGUGGGGAAUAUUGGACAAUGGGCGCAAGCCUGAUCCAGCCAUGCCGCGUGUGUGAAGAAGGCCUUUUGGUUGUAAAGCACUUUAAGCGAGGAGGAGGCUACUUGGAUUAAUACUCUAGGAUAGUGGACGUUACUCGCAGAAUAAGCACCGGCUAACUCUGUGCCAGCAGCCGCGGUAAUACAGAGGGUGCGAGCGUUAAUCGGAUUUACUGGGCGUAAAGCGUGCGUAGGCGGCUUCUUAAGUCGGAUGUGAAAUCCCUGAGCUUAACUUAGGAAUUGCAUUCGAUACUGGGAAGCUAGAGUAUGGGAGAGGAUGGUAGAAUUCCAGGUGUAGCGGUGAAAUGCGUAGAGAUCUGGAGGAAUACCGAUGGCGAAGGCAGCCAUCUGGC
rnacentral:rRNA from 1 species